rnacentral:piRNA from 1 species
UAGAUUCAUUGGUAGUACAUCGGUUGGU